GACGAACGCUGGCGGCGUGCUUAACACAUGCAAGUCGAACGGAAAGGCCCUGCUUUUUUGGUUUGCUCUAGUGGCUAUCGUGUGAGUAACACGUGAGUAACCUUCCCUUGACUUUGGGAUAACUUCAGGAAACUGGUGCUAAUACCGGAUAGGUGCUCCUGCUGCAUGGUGGGGGUUGGAAAGUUUCGGCGGUUGGGGAUGGACUCGCGGCUUAUCAGGUUGUUGGUGGGGUAUUGGCUUACCAAGGCUUUGACGGGUAGCCGGCCUGAGAGGGGGACCGGACACAUUGGGACGGGGAUGAGGCCCAGACUCCUACGGGAGGCAGCAGUGGGGAAGAGUGUACAAUGGGAGGAAGCCUAAUGCAGCAACGCGGCGUGGGGGAUAACGGCAAGCAGGUUGGAAACCGAUUUCGCAUGUGAAGAAGAGUGAGUGACGGUAAUGGGUAAAGAAGCACCGGCUAACUACGUG
rnacentral:rRNA from 1 species